ACAGUUCGGGUUGAAACUGGAGUUGAG
rnacentral:snRNA from 1 species